GGAAGAAAGAGAGAGAGAGAGAGGGGAAGAGAAAGGAAGGGAGAGGAUGAUAGUUAAGAUAAAGAAAAUUGAAACAUCACCAUGAUUUCAAUGUGUUCGAAAUGGAAAAAAAACAAUUGUAGUAUACUUUUUGUCCAUCUCUCUCUCUCUCUCUCUCUCUCUCUCCCUCCCUUUCCCGUUCUCG